GCGGGUGUAGUUCAGUGGUAGAACAAUAGCUUCCCAAGCUAUGUGCUAAGAAUUUUUACAUAUCUCGCAACCCCA
rnacentral:tRNA from 1 species